ensembl:lncRNA
AUGCCUUUUCCUCCUUCCAUUCUGGUGUUCUCUGUAUUUCCUGAAUUUGAAUGUUGGCCUGUCCUGCUAGGUUGGGGAAUUUCUCCUGAAUAUCCUAAAGAGUGUUUUACAGCUUGGUUCCAUUAUCUCUGUCACUUUCAGGUACACCAGUCAAAUGUAGGUUUAGUCUUUUCACAUAUUCCGAUAUUUCCUGGAGGCUUUGUUCAUUCCUUUUCAGUCUUUUUUCUCUAAUCUUGUCUUCACACUUUAUUUCAUUAAGUUGAUCUUCAAUCUCUGAUAUCCAUUUUUCUGUUUGAUUGAUUCAGCUAUUGAUACUUGUGUGUGCUUCAUGAAAUUCUUGUGCUGUGUUUUUCAGCUCCAUCAGGUCAUUUUUGUUCUUCUCUAAACUGGUUAUUCUAGUUAGCAGUUCCUGUGACCUUUUAUCAAGUUUCUUAGCUUCCUUUCAUUGGGUUAGAACAAAGUUUGUUAUUAGCCACCUUCUGAAGCCUACAUAUGUCAAUUCAUCAAACUCAUUCUCCAUCCAGUUUUGUGCCCCUGCUGGCAAGGAAUUGUGAUCCUUUGGAGAAGAGGCAUUCUGGUUUUGGGAAUUGUCAGCCUUUUUGUGCUGGAAAACUGAAUCCAGCUCCACAUCAAAAAGCUUAUCCACCGUAAUCAAGUCAGCUUCAUCCCUGGGAUGCAAGGCUGGUUCAACACAUGCAAAUUAAAAAAAAUCCAUCAUAUAAACAGAACCAAUGACAAAAACCACAUACUUAUCUUAAUAGAUGCAGGAAAGGCCUUUGAUAAAAUUCUACAGCCCCUCAUGCUAAAAAUACUCAAUGAACUGGGCAUUGAUGGAACAUAUUAAAAAAUACUUAGAGCUAUUUAUGACAAACCCACAACCAGCAUCGUACUGAAUGGGCAAAACCUGGAAGCAUUUCCUUUGAAAACUGGCACAAGACAAGGAUACCCUCUCUCACCACUCCUAUUCAACACAGUAUUGAAAGUUCUAGCCAGGGCAAUCAGGCAAGAGAAAGAAAUAAAUGGUAUUCAAAUAGGAAGAGAGAAAGUCAAAUUGUUUCUGUUUGUAGAAGACAUGAUUCUGUAUGUAGAAAGCCCAUCAUUUUAGCCCAAAAACUCCGUAAGCUGAUAAGCAACUUCAGCAAAGUCUCAGGAUACAAAAAUCAGUGUGCAAACAUCACAAGCAUUCCUACUAACAGAGAGCCAAAUCAUGAGUGAACUCCCAUUCACAAUUGCCACAAAUAAAAUAAAAUAACUAGGAAUACAACUUACAAGGUAUGUGAAGGACCUCUUCAAGGAGAACUGCAAAUCACUGCUCAAGGAAAUAAGAGAGAACACAAACAAAUGGAAAACCAUUCCAUGCUCAUGGAUAGGAAGAACAAUAUUGUAAAAAUGGCCAUACGGCACAAAGUAAUUUACAGAUUCAGUGCUAUCCCCAUCAAGUGCUAUCCCCAUCAAGCUACCAUUGACUUUUUUUCACAUAAUUAGAAAAAACUACUUUAAAUUUCAUAGGGAACAACAAUAACAAAAAAGCCUAUAUAGCCAAGACAAUUCUAAGCAAAAAAGCAAAGCUGGAAGCAUCAUGCUACUUCAAACUAUACUACAAAGCUCCAGUGACCAAAACAGCAGGGUACUGGUACCAAACAGAUAUAUAGACCAAUGGAACAGAACAGAGGCCUCAGAAAUAAUGCCAUAUAUCUAUAUCUACAACCAUCUGAUCUUUGACAAACCUGUCAAAAACAAGCAACAGAAAAAGAAUUUCCUAUUUAAUAAAUGGAGUUGAAAAAACUGGCUAGCCAUAUGCAGAAAACUGAAACCAGACCCCUUCCCUACACCUUAUACAAAAAUUAACUAAAGAUGUAUAAAGACUUAAACAUAUGACCUAUAACCAUUAAAACCUUAGAAGAAAAUCUAGGCAAUACUAUUCAGGACAUAGGCAUGGGCAAAGACUUCGUGACUAAAACACCAAAACCAAUGGGAACAAAAGCCAAAAUUGACAAAUAGGAUCUAAUUAAACUAAAGAGCUUCUACACAGCAAAACUAAUUAUCAUCAGAGUGAAAAGGCAACCUACAAAAUGGGAGAAAAUAUUUGCAAUCUAUUCAUCUGACAAAGAGCUAAUAUGAAGAAUCUUCAAAGAACUUAAACAAAUUUAUAAGAAUAAAACAAACAACCCCA